rnacentral:rRNA from 1 species
UACAGAGGGUGCAAGCGUUAAUCGGAAUUACUGGGCGUAAAGGGUGCGUAGGUGGUUUGUUAAGUCAGGCGUGAAAUCCCUGGGCUCAACCUGGGAACUGCGUUUGAUACUGGCAGACUCGAGUCUGGUAGAGGGUAGUGGAAUUCCGCAUGUAGCGGUGAAAUGCGUAGAUAUGCGGAGGAACAUCAGUGGCGAAGGCGGCUACCUGGACCAAGACUGACACUGAGGCACGAAAGCGUGGGGAUCAAACAGG